GCUCUGCUUGGCUUGUUUACCACUUUAGGCUACGAAAUAUUGUUGUCUAGUAUCGAGCUUGGCAAUUAAAAGUUGUGCUCAAGGAAAAUUUGACUGUCCUCAGCCCAUGCAUAUUCUGUUUGGAAGAGCAGCAUCAUCCGCAUUGGUUGCCCUGUGCCCAUUCAUUCUGCAGUGAUUGCUUACAGCGUUAUCUGGUGGUAAGAGGGGAUCUGCGGUGUCCGUUGUGUCGUCGCGAGUUUCAGCCAUGUCGGGCAUCCAGCCUUCAUCGAUCGAAGAUGCAAAUGUCCGGACAACGGAGCAUCAUCUUCAUCAACUCUUCGAACUAGACUUCGACAGGCUGAACGAUACUUUGAUGCUGACACUGACUGAACAGGAAAUACGUUUCUUUGCCAAUUUAUAUGGAGAAGUGGUCCGCGAGGAUCACAGCCAGACAUCCGGAUGUCAUGGCCAUGAUUGGCAAAUAGACACACAGCUCUCAAACACAUGAUUCAUUGCUAUUGUUAAUAACAUACUUCCUUUUAGGCUACACUUUACUCGUAAACACAAAUUCUAUUCGCUCUGUUCGAUUGAUUGAUGAUCAAGUCUUUUCAUCAUUUGGUUAAUUACAAUAAAAUUGAUAUUACAAUUUGCA